UACGGGGGGAGCAAGCGUUGUUCGGAUUUACUGGGCGUAAAGGGCGCGUAGGCGGCCACCGCAAGUCGACUGUGAAAUCUCCGGGCUUAACUCGGAAAGGUCAGCCGAUACUGCGGGGCUAGAGUGCAGGAGGGGCAACUGGAAUUCUCGGUGUAGCGGUGAAAUGCGUAGAUAUCGGCAGGAACACCCAGGGGGAAACCAGUGGACUGGGCAUGUGCUGACGCUCAGGUGCGAAAGCGUGGGGAGCGAACCGG
rnacentral:rRNA from 1 species